ACGGAAGGCAGCAGUGAGGAAUAUUGGUCAAUGGGCGAGAGCUUGAACCAGCCAAGUCGCGUGCGGGACGAAGGCCCUACGGGUCGUAAACCGCUUUUAUACGGGAAUAAAGUGCGCCACGCGUGGCGUUUUGCAGGUACCGUAGGAAUAAGGAUCGGCUAACUCCGUGCCAGCAGCCGCGGUAAUACGGAGGAUCCGAGCGUUAUCCGGAUUUAUUGGGUUUAAAGGGUGCGUAGGCGGCCCCUUAAGUCGGCGGUGAAAUUUCCGGGCUCAACCCGGUCACUGCCGUCGAAACUGGGGGGCUUGAGUGCGUUUGGGGUGGCUGGAAUGUGCGGUGUAGCGGUGAAAUGCAUAGAUAUCGCACAGAACGCCGAUCGCGGAGGCAGGUCACCAAGCCGCAACUGACGCUGAGGCACGAAAGCGCGGGGAUCGAACAGGAUUAGAUACCCUGGUA
rnacentral:rRNA from 1 species